rnacentral:rRNA from 1 species
GAUCAUGGUCUCAGGACGAACGCUGGCGGCGUGCUUAACACAUGCAAGUCGAACGGAGCACCCUUGAAUGAGGUUUCGGCCAAAGGAAAGGAAUGCUUAGUGGCGGACUGGUGAGUAACGCGUGAGGAACCUGCCUUUCAGAGGGGGACAACAGCUGGAAACGGCUGCUAAUACCGCAUGACGCAUUCGGAUGGCAUCAUCUGAAUGCCAAAGAUUUAUCGCUGAAAGAUGG